UGAAGGAAAACAUCAGAAGAAACAGGUUAAAGAAUUAGAUGUGGUCCUCACAGGGAAUAUUUGUUUCUGGGAGAAUAACAAAAAGAAGGAAGAUUCAGUAGGAAAGGAAAGCAAUGAAGAAGCCAAGAAAGAGACAAGGAACCCCGGAAAGAGAGUCAGCAAAGAGAGAAAUAGAAACAUUAAUUUCAGGUGAAGAAACUGAAGACUUUAGCCAGAGCCAAGUGGCUAAUUCAGAGUUUAAUACACCUUUGACCUCAAACCCUUUGUGGUCACCUUUGAACAGUGCCUCCCUCUCUGAAAUAAAAUACUGGUUCUGUCA
rnacentral:lncRNA from 1 species